rnacentral:misc_RNA from 1 species
GUGUAUAAUUAUUAGAGUAUCUGUCUGUCUGGUAAUCUGGUAUUGCAUUUUUACUAUGACACCUUUUGACGAACUUUAAAAAGAUCUUGAAAUUGGCUGUAAAGAAGAGUUUACAUCGAUCAUGCGAUAUUUUUUGUCUUCAUUUUUAACGUUGGGUUGGAUAGAUUUUAAUGGUUUAAUUGAUAACACGCUAUUUAGAUUCUUAUUUCAUUCUUGACUGAAUAUUUUCAGAUAAUAUCUUCAGCUGAAGGCUUCAUGUGAUCUAGGUGCUUGUGACAGUGAUAAAAUGGUCCAAUUCAAGCUGUGUACCAAGGAAAUUCUGUUUGCAAGAACUCCAAUAUGUUCCAUCGGGAUAUUCGGUCACAUCGUCAACAAUCACAAGCUAUUCAAACAUCUAUGCAUCACCUAUUUAUGUGCCAGUUCCCGUUUCACUGCCUUCACAAAUCAAUCAACCGGAGCCAGUGGAACGUUUGGAUUCAAAAGAAAGAGUUUCUCAGUUGGAAGAUCUAUAGCGGAUGCUGGAACUACAGAAGAAGAUUCAGGAAUUGGAGAUUAGUUUGCAGGAAGCCAAAACCAAACAGGCUGUUCCUCCAAGUGGAAUUAAGAGCCAGCAGGUCGUCAUCGACAAAUCGAUAUCUGCAGCUAUGUUUCACUGGAGCAAGAAGCCGAACUUUGUGUGUUCCUGAAAAGAAUCCUUCUACCUCAUCUUCUCUUCUAAAAUUCUGAAUGAAAUUGAUCUUCUGCAAGUCCGAUUGAGAAGUGUGAUCGCCUCAACCGGAGCUGUCGUUGUCAACCGUCGUCGCAUUGGAAAGAUAACCGACAACUAUCAGGAGCCAAUUGGGCGUGGAGAAUUCGGUCAAGUCUUCAAAGGAACUUGGCGUGAACGUCAAGUAGCCAAUCCGCUUUGGCGUCGCAGCACAGACGUCGAGGCUCGAUCGUUCGCCAAGAUGAUUCAACGAGAGGUUGAAGCUCUUUCAGCUGUCCAGCACCGCAAUAUUAUUGGACUGCUCGGUCUUUGCAUGGAUAACGAAUCGAGUGAUGGUGAAGCAUCGAUUAGAGUCUCGCUCAUCUUUGAAUUCGCCAACGGAGGGACUCUUUUCGACUGUCUUUUCGGUGGCCAAGCAAGAAACAACAAAUUCAAAUUAUAGACGUGAAUAAAAUGAUGCUGAUCGCUCGCCAUAUCACCGCGAGGCUCAUCAUCUAUUGCAUUCCACUCAGCAGAUGCCGGGCGGUUCAGUUAUGGUCUACCGUAACGUGAAAUCCGCCAAUGUUUUACUGUAACGGGAUGACGAAGGAAGAGUCGUACGAACUAUUUUGGCCGAUUUUGGUUUGGCACGUUUUCAUUCGAAUUUCAACGAAAGUUUCUCCGGCUCUGGCCUAGCAGCCAGUUCAAUGACAGCCUUGGUAGGUACCCACGGCUAUGUCAAUCCUUUGUAUGCGGAGUUCAACCUACAGACGGGCCGGCCAGUUUGCAUGUCCUUCACGCUUGAAGGUCGCGGGGAAUAUUACGUUAAACUGUCAAUGCGGUGGUGUAGAGGUUGGGUGAGGACGACACGUGUUACAUCAUUAUCAAGUAGUAAACUAUGGCGUUGUGCUGCUGUUGGGUGUUGAAUCGUUGAUGGUUGGGUCGACCGCUGGUGUACAGAUGUCUCCUGGGUAUGGCGGAUAUCAAAGCACAACACUACUGUCUUAUUACUCAACAUCAACCGACGCUGCUCUAGCUUACUACACCAAGGCUCUAAAGUACUACACCACCAAGGCUUCAGAGUAUUACAAGUUGUAUUAAAGGAGAGAAAAGGCGAAAUAAUCAGGCGGGUGAUUAUCUCCGACACGAAAACAACUGUUGUGCAUUUGUCACUAACUGCAUUCUCCAUCGUACAUAGGGUAAACUGUGGCGUCGUGCUGCUGUUGGUUGUUGUCCUCAAAUACUACACCACCGACACUACAAUUUAUGCUGCACGAGCUGCAUCACCAAAGAGCCCGAACCCAUCCCCAGCAACGUCAACCUGCAGAAAGAAAGGCCAGUUUUGUAUGUCCUUCAGAAGGUCACGGAGAUCAUUACGUAAAACUGUCAAUGCGGUGGUGUAGAGGUUGGGUGAGAACGGGAAGUGUUUGCUUCAUUAUCAAGAAGGUAAAAUAGCCGCAAGACUUAAGAAAGGGGUCAGGGUGAGAAAAAGUCGUAUAAAAGAAGAGAGAAAGGGCGUUUGAAAUCAGUUGAGUGAAAAUCUCCGACACGGCAACAACUGCUGUGGACUAUUUGUCACCAACUGCAUUCUUCAUCGUAAUAUCGGUUCGCAAACAAAUUUUAACUAUGGCGUCGUGCUGCUGUUGGUUGCUGUAUCUUUGAUGGUUGAGUCGACUACUGGGGUAACCGAUGUCUCGUGGGUAUGGUGGAUACCAAACCGCAACGCCGGCGUCUUACCACACAUCAUACGCAACAACCGGAGUACUACACCACAACUUAUGAUGUCCCAAACUACUACACCGAAGCCUCAAAGUAUUAUUCUGCCUCGAGUUACACCACCGGAGUACUACACCACCAAGGCAGCGGAGUACUACACCACCAAGGCAGCGGAGUACUACACCACCAAGGCAGCGGAGUACUACACCACCAAGGCAGCGGAGUAUUACACCACCACGUAUGCUGCCUCAGCCUGUUAGACCGAGGCUCCCAAGUACUACUCCGUUCCCAGCUACUUCACUGUGGCUCCAGCUUAUUACGCCACCACGCGGUCAUAACUACACCGAAGCGCCCAAGUACUACUCUGCCCCGAAUUACUACACAGCGGCUGCUCCUUCGUACUACGUUGGACCGAAAUACUACACUGAGGCUCCAGUUUACUACUCUACAACCUACUCUACAACCUACGCUGCACCUAGUUAAUACACCAAAGCCCCAAAGUACUACAUCGACGAGGCUGCAUUUUGCACUGCAACCCACGCUGCCCUCAGCUACCAUACCGAGGCUCCGCUCCCAAAUUGCUUCCAAGUACUACAUAACCAAGGCACCCGAGCUAUUAGUUAGGCUGCUUCGACCUACUGUACCGAAACUGCGAAGUAUUCCACUGCCCCGAGUUACUACACCACCAAGGCACCUGAAUGUUACAUCACAACCUUCGCUUCUCCAGUUUACUACAGGGAGGCUCUUAAAUACCGGAGCUGAAAUUUCUGAUUUAAUUAUUUGUGUAGUUCUGUCGGUCAAUUCUUAAUAGUUACUAGUAACUGGGAAUCGUUGAUUUUAAAUGAGAAAAUAAAUUAUUUAAC